GGACCACCGCAGGACCACCAGCUCUAAAAAUGAGCGGCUAGCCAGCAGAGGACCGAUGUUAACCCGCUCGAUGGCUACCACUGGCGCUCUAGCAGCUACGAGCCGCCGAUCAGCCGCCAAGAGUGGGCCACGACAGCGGACUGGAGGCGCUUCACCUCACCGGGUUGUUUCGCGUCUGUUGCGGCGGUGCGCGCGGCUCGAGUGUCGGGGUUUCCAACGGAUUACAUCAGGGGCUGAUUUAAGCGCCUUACGUCACAUCCGGCAUGUCAGAGCAGUGCGCACAAGAGCUCGGCGUUCAGGAGACGAAGAAUCAACAGACGUAGCAGCGCAAGCUGAAGAGAGAAGGAGGCUCGAAAACAGCGAAUAUGCAAGAACCUGAGGAGGAAGGAGAGUCGUCAAGGAAGAAAAGCAAACCUGAAAAUAUUGUGUCUAAAUCCAAAAAAAAAAAAAA